UACGAAGGGAGCUAGCGUUGUUCGGAAUCACUGGGCGUAAAGCGCACGUAGGCGGAUUUGUCAGUCAGGGGUGAAAUCCCGGGGCUCAACCUCGGAACUGCCUUUGAUACAGCAAGUCUUGAGUUCGAGAGAGGUGGGUGGAAUUCCUAGUGUAGAGGUGAAAUUCGUAGAUAUUAGGAAGAACACCGGUGGCGAAGGCGGCCCACUGGCUCGAUACUGACGCUGAGGAGCGAAAGCGUGGGGAGCGAACAGG
rnacentral:rRNA from 1 species